GAUGAACGCUGGCGGCGUGCCUAAUACAUGCAAGUCGAGCGAAUGGAUUAAGAGCUUGCUCUUAUGAAGUUAGCGGCGGACGGGUGAGUAACACGUGGGUAACCUGCCCAUAAGACUGGGAUAACUCCGGGAAACCGGGGCUAAUACCGGAUAACAUUUUGAACCGCAUGGUUCGAAAUUGAAUGGCGGCUUCGGCUGUCACUUAUGGAUGGACCCGCGUCGCAUUAGCUAGUUGGUGAGGUAACGGCUCACCAAGGCAACGAGGCGUAGCCGACCUGAGAGGGUGAUCGGCCAAGCUGGGACUGAGACACGGCCCAGACUCCUACGGGAGGCAGCAGUAGGGAAUCUUCCGCAAUGGACGAAAGUCUGACGGAGCAACGCCGCGUGAGUGAUGAAGGCUUUCGGGUCGUAAAACUCUGUUGUUAGGGAAGAACAAGUGCUAGUUGAAUAAGCUGGUACCUUGACGGUACCUAACCAGAAAGCCACGGCUAACUACGUGCCAGCCGCCGCGGUAA
rnacentral:rRNA from 1 species